rnacentral:rRNA from 1 species
GACUCUGGGAUAAGCCUGGGAAACCUGGGUCUAAUACUGGAUACUACCUCGCACCGCAUGGUGGGUGGUGGAAAGGGUUUUACUGGUUUUGGAUGGGCUCACGGCCUAUCAGCUUGUUGGUGGGGUAAUGGCUCACCAAGGCGACGACGGGUAGCCGGCCUGAGAGGGUGACCGGCCACACUGGGACUGAGACACGGCCCAGACUCCUACGGGAGGCAGCAGUGGGGAAUAUUGCACAAUGGGCGCAAGCCUGAUGCAGCGACGCCGCGUGAGGGAUGACGGCCUUCGGGUUGUAAACCUCUUUCAGUAGGGAAGAAGCGAAAGUGACGGUACCUGCAGAAGAAGCGCCGGCUAACUACGUGCCAGCAGCCGCGGUAAUACGUAGGGCGCAAGCGUUGUCCGGAAUUAUUGGGCGUAAAGAGCUCGUAGGCGGUUUGUCGCGUCUGCUGUGAAAGCCCGGGGCUCAACCCCGGGUCUGCAGUGGGUACGGGCAGACUAGAGUGCAGUAGGGGAGACUGGAAUUCCUGGUGUAGCGGUGAAAUGCGCAGAUAUCAGGAGGAACACCGAUGGCGAAGGCAGGUCUCUGGGCUGUUACUGACGCUGAGGAGCGAAAGCAUGGGGAGCGAACAGGAUUAGAUACCCUGGUAGUCCAUGCCGUAAACGUUGGGCACUAGGUG